rnacentral:lncRNA from 1 species
UGGUGCCAAAGGCAGAGGCGGCAGGAGUGGGAGCAGCCUUCAGAGGUGCGGAGACGGGCAGAGGCCACCGAGGAGCACCACCUCCCAGGGCUGGACCACGUGCUGGGCCACGCGUUGACCUCUCUCCAAGCAGCUCCUGUCUCGCUGCCCUGAGCCCUGGGGUGUGGUUCAGGAAAGGCCACCUGCGCCUCUCCCCAUAGGCAGGGCCACCCAGGCCUGCAGUGGUGGCAACUCCAUCCCAGUCGGAAGCCUGAGAUACCUCCUGCAAGAAGCCAGAAGAGCAAAGAAGGCCGUGUGUGUAAAGAGCCCAGUGCUGGUUCCCGAACUCUGUGGGCCCUCGUCUUAUCUCCCCGGCCAGCCCAUCCAUCACGUGACCUCCAGCACUGUGGCCUGUGUGUGCCAGGCCCUCCAAGGAGCUCAGGUACUACCUGAUCCCAUGACUUGGAUGUCCAAGAAAUCUCUCAAACUUGACGUGCCCCAAACUUAAUCACUAAUUUUUCCCUUGAAAUCUGUUCUCUCCCAGUCUUUCUCAAGUCUGUGUGAGCCACCUCUGUCCACCCAGUUUCUCAAUGAUGAAUCUUAGAAAUUGUCCUGCUUCCUCUUAUUCCCUCACUCUCUGCAUCCAGCUCAUCAGCAAGUCCCACUGGUUCUGCUUUCACAUGUACCCCCAAUCUGUCCACGUCUCCCUACUUAUUGCCUGGGUCCCCCAUGAGAUGUAAGCUCCCUUAAGUGCAGGGACUUUGUUUUGCUCACUAUUAUGGAUCGGACCCAGGACCUGGCCAAGUGCCCACUGCCAGUGAGUUCUAAGUUCCCCGUUGUUGAAUGAAUGACCGAGUUUCAUUUCCUCUAGCAAGGAGCCCUGCAGAGUGGGACUGGGCCCCACUUCCUCUUGGGGUGAGUUAUGUCUAAACUAAAUGGUGCCCUUCCCUUCCCUUGCCUUCCCUGUCUCAGCACAGGGCACCCCACACCCAGGAUUUCUUCUCAGCCCAGUCCCCUCCUUCCAUACUCAUCUCCUGUGUGGGUCACCUGCCUCUGGUUUCUCGGCUCUACCAGCUUUUUCCAUCUCUGCUGACAUUGCCCUGGUCCCCAUGUGUCAUUUCUCACCUGAAUAGAUUACUUUGCUUCUCUAAUCCCCUCUCCACAAAGCAGGGUUUAUGUGAUCUUUUCAAAACUCAAAUCGGAUCACGUCACUUUCCUACUUAGAACUCUUCAAUCUUCUCCUGAGGCCUGAUGGUAAAAUCCCACAUCAGACACGGCACUGCUUACUGUGCUCUCAAGACACCCCCUGUGUCUCCCACCUCCACCCCUGCUUGGCUGGCUCACGUCAGUCUCACCUUGCUGGGCCCUCAGACCAGCUAGGGACCCACUGCUGCCCAGUCCCGGGGGAGCUGCUUCUCCGAUGCCUGUGGCCGCGUUGAAGAGCUGUGCCUGUGAUUUUGUUAUUUGUUUGAGGUGCCGCCAGGCAGUCAGUCUCCUUGUAUUCCAGUCCACGUAAUUAUCGAUGCUUCCCAGGUUCUGCCCUUCAGCCUCGACCUCUCCCUGGGCCCUCGGCCUGGUUACCUGACUGUCCACUUGAGAGCUCAGCAGGGAUGUCCAGCAGCAAGGAAAGGUCAGGUGAGGACCCCGACCACGCUGCCACCUUCAUCUCGGACUUCUGGCUUCCAGAGCACAAGGAGGGAGUGUUUGCUGUUUAAGCCAUCCAGUCUAUGGUACUUUGUUACAGCAGCCUAAACUGACCAAGACAUCCCUCUUCUGUAUGGCAGAAUUAUUAUCAGUCAUAGUCAAGAGAUAAAACUUAUAAUCAUGUCCAGAAAAAAAAAUGCAGAGUGUAAAGUGUCUUAAAUUGAACUUUGUAUGUAUAAUCAUGGCAUGAUAAAAGUGAAUACUUUUUUUUUUUUUCUUUGAGAUGGAGUUUCACUCUUGUUGCCCAGGCUGGAGUGCAGUGGCGCGAUCUUGGCUCACUGCAACCUCCGCCUCCCGGGUUCAAGCAAUUCUCCUGCCUCUGCCUCCCAGGUAGCUGGGACUACAGGUGCCUGCCACCACACCUGGCUAAUUUUUGUAUUUUUAGUAGAGACGGGGUUUCACCAUGUUGGCCAGGAUAGUCUCAAUCUUUUGACCUCGUGAUCCGCCUGCCUCCGCCUCCCAAAGUGCUGGGAUUACAGGCGUGAGCCACCGCGCCCGGCAUUUUCAUUUUUAAAGAUAGUAUUUAAAAUCAGUAAUAUUUCAUGUAUGAACUAAUAUGUAUAUUUGUCAAACAAAAAAUGUUAUACCUUGAAGUUCACAGUUUUAUCACUUUACAUAUUUUAAACACAAAUAAACAUCCCAAGUGGUCCCAUAGACUGACAGAGUUGAAGUAACUGAUGUUCUGUUUCCUCGUCUUUAUUUUGUUUUCGGUUUUUUUUUUUUUUUUGAGACAGGGUCUUCCUCUGUUGUCCAGGCUGGAGUGCAGUGGUGCAGUCAUAGCUCACUGCAGCCUCAAAUUCCUAGGCUCAAGUGAUUCUUCUACCUCAGCCUCCGCUACCAUACCUGGAUAAUUUUUAUUUUUAUUUUUGCAGAGAUGAUGUCUUACUGUAUUGCCCAGGCUG